rnacentral:tRNA from 1 species
GGGUAUAGCUCAGUAGUAGACCACAUGCUUAGCAUGCAUGAGGGCCUGGUUUCUAUCCCCAGUACCUCCA